GUACUUUGAAAAAUAAAAAGUGAAGUUUCUGUUCUGUUUUUAAGAAUCAGCCAAGGACUGGCAGAACUGUUUUCAUCAAUUUGCAUCUUUGCUUAAAGCCAGUUGUCCGAAAGCCUCUCCAAACAGCUUAAUCUUGAUGAUUUUUCUAGAACUAAUGCUUCCUAGAGAAAUCUCCCACUUUCCUUCAGCACUGGGUAUUUCAGGCUGUGAGCUGCAGGUGCCGAUUAGCCCUCGUGCAUCUCAGCCCCUCUCUACGUGAUGCUGGCAUAAUGACCUCCUGAUGCCAUUUUCCUGGAGGCGGGCGUUUGGGUGAGGGCGGAGUUCCCAACUUCGCUGGACUCUGUUCUUCAACCUAAAAUCCCUUGGCAGGUCUGAAAAUUAAGAGAACAAAGAGCGACAAUCUGAAGAAGGCAGGAGUGGACACUGUGAAAAUGUAGAAUAAGCCUGUUUCUGUGGUUGGACCUUGAGUUUGGGCCUAGGUUCCCUUACAGUUGAGGCUGGAAGAAAACCACGUUGCUUGCUAUUGGCAGGGAAUCAAAGCUAUGUCCCACAAGCCCAUCUGCAGAGGUGAUGUUCUCCCUGAAAUUGAACUUCAGUAGGCACCUCCUUCCCAGGUCCACACGUGAGGCCUUGGGCAACCAGCAAGCAAAGGUAUGCUCACCUGUGGUUUUACAAAAGACACAGAAAUGCAUUUAGAUUAGACGGUUCUUAUAUCAGCACCCCCCCAUUGGAAUAACCCUGAAUCAUGGCUCAGUGAAGGCGUUUCUGCGAGAAGGAAGGACAAUAACCUCCAGGUACCUUCAUUUUCUGUCUUUCUUAAUGCAGAGGAAGUGAAGGUGGGAGGCUCCAUUAAAACCUGGGUGAGGGGCCUGGGAGUCGGGAGCGUCUAGGCCCAGAGGCCAUCUGUCCAGGCUCCGUCUGUAGCCACAACCAGUCGUGAAAUGAUAAAAUGGUAGAAGCAAAGUAGCAAACACAUUUUCUUGCCUGUUAUAAAAGUGUAUUUGUGUGCUGUGUGUGGGGGGGUAAGGAAGUGUACGUGUGUGCUGUGUGUGUGUGGGUAAGGAAGUGUAUUUGUGUGCUGUGUGUCGGGGGGUAAGGAAGUGUACGUGUGUGCUGUGUGUGUGUGGGUAAGGAAGUGUACGUGUGUGCUGUGUGUGUGUGGGUAAGGAAGUGUAUGUGUGUGCUGUGUGUGGGGGGGGUAAGGAAGUGUACAUGUGUGCUGUGUGUGGGGGGGUAAGGAAGUGUACGUGUGUGCUGUGUGUGUGGGUAAGGAAGUGUACGUGUGUGCUGUGGGGGGGUAAGGAAUGUACGUGUGUGCUGUGUGUGUGUGGGUAAGGAAGUGUACGUGUGUGCUGUGUGUGUGUGGGUAAGGAAGUGUACGUGUGUGCUGUGUGUGUGUGGGUAAGGAAGUGUACGUGUGUGCUGUGUGUGUGGGGGUAAGGAGUGAGUGGGGAGAGGAUGCCAUUCAAGCACAGGGCACCCUUUUUAUUUCUUGCUCACACUUUGUGCCCCGUGUGGGUUGACAGAGUCCCUGCACGCACAGUCACUCCGGGACCCAGGUUGACUUUAUCUCCUCUGUCUCGUGCUGUACCGUCUGGCACAGGUGGCCUUCUUGCUCACCACUGGAGAUGGUCACGACAGCGCCUGUAUGCUUUGAUUUGGAAUGUCACCUGUCACUCCCACUAAACAGCCUACUGGUCAGAACCAGUCACAUGACCUUGUGGAAGGUGGGAGUGUAUACUUUGCCCUGGGCCCAGACAGAGAAGAAAACCAGAUGUGUGUGCACAUUCCUCGUCUUUACCAAAGUGAUGCUCCUUUGCCUACAGAGAAAUGAAUUAAUGGGCUCUACUGUUGGUUAAUUCCAUCAAUCUUGGUCAUAGAGAAAAAGACAGGCUUUUGUUCAAAACCUCAUUGUGUUGGACCUCGAGAAUUAUUUAUAACAUGUCAAAAGAAAUGCCACCAGAUGCAGGAUACAUUGAAUUUAGGAAACGUACACUUGAAAAGCAUGUGGGAAAAACCACUUUUGAGUGAAAUUAAGAUAAAUUUAUGAGUGACAGGUUUACAGUGAGAUGACUGCGAUUAUCUUCCUGAUCUCCACUGGCAGAUUCGAGGAGGAAGAACAUGUGGGUUUUGGUGCUAAGAUGCAAACUGGGGUGUGCGGAUGUGUGGUCCUGGUUCAUCGUAACUUUUCCUUGGUCUCACACCUUGUUGUUCGUUCCCGUUAAGGUAAAAGAAGGACUUGAAUAGGUUUUCAGCAGAAGGAUGAGAGUUAAAAUAUCUUAAAGACGUGUUAAGACAGUAUGUAGUCAGUUUUAGAGUCACAUGACAGCAACAGACAUCAGAGAUAAGCAAAAAUGUCACUGUUUCUGUUAGGUCUUGGUUCAGCGGCAUAAAACAGAAAACCUGAGUUUGGCUUAAACAUAGAAAGGCUUAUGUUCUCACUUAAAAGAAGUCUAGGGCAAAGCAGCUAGUCCAGGACAGAGAGGAGGGUCCCGUAAAGACAUCAAAGACUCUUCGUAAUUUUCUUUUCUGUCUUCUCAGCCAUUUGGCUUCAGUCCUCCAAAGUUUGCCUCUUGAUCAAGAUGCCUCCUGCAGCGCCUCCACUGAGCUCCGUGUGAGCCCAAGCCACAGAAAGCAGGAGGCAGAAGGUGGGAUGAGCCUUCCUGCUGAGUCGGCCCUGUAAGGAGUCUCCCAGAGACGGAGGCGCAGCUCAGCACUCGCUAACAUCUCAUUGGACGAGGCUGUGUCACAUGACUCCACCUGGCUGCAAGGCAGGCUGGGGAAUAGUUUUGCUGUGUUUACCCGAGCACAUUGCCCUGCUGUGUCAUUUGCCUUCUGAGACUAAGGAGAGGUGGAAUGGAAUAUUGUCCACCUGCUAUUGGCGUUGAGAGCUGCCACCUACAGGGCUGCCUGCUUGCCUUGACAGUGAACCUCUCCCACCCCUCACGGGACUCCCAGAUAGAUACCUGUCCCCCAAAAGAGAUUUACAGGGGAAGCUUAUCUUUGGGACCUCCGCUUAGACUUUGUAUACACCCCUUCAAUUUUUUGAUUGCUCCCAGGAAUCUAGUGGCGUCACUUCCGAGUCCUGUGCUGUCGUGCCUGCCAGAAUUGCCCUCCUGCCAGUAGCCUGUGCUCUCAACUUGCCUGUUGUUUCUUCCUUAAUUUAGUCUAUCCUGCUGAUCUCAGAUAAGAAGAAAACAAUCAAAUGCAACCACAUUAAAUGAUAUUCUUCAGAGAGCAUAUUCCAAUUAGAAAAUGAAUAUUUUGUGUCAGUUCAGGUAUUAGGGCUGAAGGAAGGGAUGUUUUCAAACACUAAAGAUGGCAAUCAUUUUAAGAACAGGAGCUCCUAGCUUUUAGUAACAGAAAACUGUGUUAUAAGUAGUUUGCACAGUGUGUUAGCUAGCGGGCUGUUAUUCCUCUGGCCCCAGGUCCUCCAUGGUGUCCGUACUGGCACCAAACCCCAUACGUGUGAAAACAGUCCACCAACUCUGACGGUCGUUGCUUGGUUGUUGGAACUCCCAGUAUGCACCUUCAUCAGUUGUUUGGACCCUGAUGUGGAAAUGUUUCAGUGGUUGCCACGUCCCAGGUACCAUAUCGAAUGGACCCAAUCCUGUAAUAGGAAAAUCUGGGUACAAGGGCAGUUCCCCUUACUAAAUCCUCGGUGAUAAUGGAGGCUUUAAGCCUGUAAGACCAGCCCUCACCUUUUGUGCUCCCUGGGUUGUAGAGGGAACAUCCAUCCUCAGAACAGGAACUUGUCAGAAUCCUUGGAUAUACUGACAAUACAUUGAUGAGACUCGAACGCCGAUAAAUUGUAUAGCUCCCAGGGCUCAGUAGGUCCCCUGUCUCUCUGCUUAUGAAUCAAAAACCCUGUUUAUUUGUAUCAAGGACAGAUGAUACUUUAAUCAUUAAUAAACUAACGUUUCAGCAGCCUGCCAUAAAUUUCUUGUCAAAGAAGGGAUUAUUAUUAGAACCCACUGUGAUGAAAGAUAAUCUCUACCUAGACUCACCUCCCUCACUUUUAAAGCCUGCGGUUGUAGGGCUUGGAGGUUACUACAAGAGGAAAAGCCUCACAAGCAGAAACCCUUGUUUCCUGCUUUCAGCAGGAAAAAAAAAAAAAAUUUGUGAAUUAACCGAUUUGCAUGUUUUGACCAAGAUCCGGCACACGCUCUUUCCCAUGAAUAAAAAAUUGAAUUUUGAGAGCAAAUAUUUUGGUAAGGAAACAGAGAACCGAUAGUAGUAUUCUUUCUGAUGGUAAUUGCUGAACAGGAGCCAUCUUUCAGUAAACGUGGACAUUUAUUAAUUAAUUAUUAAUAGUCAAAUCUGACUCUUUAAUAACAGUGCAGCCGUAGUUAGGAUUUAUUGACAGCUCCGGGCUGCGCGUGGCGCCUCCCUUAUCUUAUUUAAUCUUCCCGACCGCCUCCUUCAGUGGACACCUUCUCCAGCUUAUCCAUGGUUCCUCACUGGCCGAUGAGGAAACUGUGGCUGAAUUAAGUGACUGCCAACGUCAGCCAGCUUUGGAGUGGCAGAGCUGCAAGGAGACAAGGCUGCAUGGCACGGAAGGCGUUUUCUAACUCAGGGCAAUGUACAGUGGGGUCCAGUGAGGCUAUUAAAAAUGAGAUUAUUUCCAGAAGCAGAUGGCGAGCCACGUGGGAAUUCAGUCUUCAUGGUCAUGUUAAGCGGAGACCGAGGUGAUGACAUCGCGCGCCGCCUCCGAGGGAAGCUGGGCCUCAGCUCCCCCGGGGCUGGCAAGAGUGCUUUCAUGAACGGGGCCCUCCUCCUUCCUGGCGGCAUUCAGUCCGGGGGUGCAGCUUGCAGGAGUCAGAAGGAGAGCUGUUUGGAGUAGGCCACAGUCCUGGUCCCAGCUCAGGGGUGCAGGAAUUUGGUUCGUGAGGGUGACGGCGGCGGGAAUGAUGGCUUUUGAGCAGGCAGCCCAAAAGCUCCUGCCACGGGAUCCUCCCUGGCGCCCAUGUCGGCACCCAGUCCCUCCACAUGCCAGUGAGUCUCCUUCUGACAUCAAGCUCCAGGGCGUGUUCCAAGCUCUGCUUUCUGAGAAGGCUGUUCCCUGCACGACCGUCAUGCCUUCUGCUUGGGGAACGUCUGGCCCUUGUUUCUUUUAACCUGUAAGUUCUUUGGUCUGACUUCCCCAGGCAUAGUCCACGAUGCCUCGUAGUCGCGGUUGGCCAUUGAACGGUCACUGAGCCCCAGCUCUGGAGCAGGUUCUGUGUCAGGCUGCCAGGGCCCCCACCACAGAGGACCACAGACUGGGUGGCUUCAACAACCGGAAUUUCCUUCUUUCUGGCUGGAAGUCCAAGGUCAGGGUGGUGGCAGAGUUGGUUUCUCCUGCAGCCUCUCUGAGCCUUGGCGCUGUGUCCUUACGUGGCCAUCCCUCGGCGGGUUAGACGUGUCUCUAGUGUGUGCUCUUCUUACUAGUCCACCGUCACGUUGGGUUAGGGUCCAUCCUAUGAACUCAUUUAACCUUCAUUACCUCUUUAGUGGUGUCACGUUGGGGUAGGGCUUCCACAUAGGAAUUUGCGAGGGACAUAGUUGAGUCCGUGAACCCGCCAUGCUGGGCACGGUGGAUAAGGAGGGAACAGUCCGUACCCUCUGUCACUUUUCAGGGAAGACAGUCUUUCUGUCAUUCUUGUCAAUCUCGUAAUUAAAUAAUCACGAGAUGGUUACUGCUGUGGCAGAGUGUAAGGGCUUAACUAGUGUGGCUUAGAAAAGGCCACUCCAGCCUCGUCUAGGGGUAGGGUUUUCCCUGGGGAGGGGAGGUUGGAAUUAGGGAUGAAAGGGGGAGCUGGCUGUUGGUGGAAGACGGGCCUCAGGCCAGGAGGAAAGCAAACAGUAGGUGUCAUCAGGACUCUCAGGCACAGUCCUGUCUGGACACAGCACGUUCCAGCAGCUGAACGGCAGCCAGAGCGGCGCAGGCCUAGAAAACGGGGUGAGAGACUGUUCACAAGCACGCGGGGUCCAUCGUUAUAUCCCUUAUGAUCCCACAGUGUCUGACGCUGUGGGAUUGCAGCGAAUUUGCGUAAGAAAAGUUUGCGAUUCCACUGUUGCCAUCCUGUGUGUUGAAAUAAGAAAUUCUCCAAACUUCCGGGUGCCUAAGACUCAAUCAUGAACUUAACUUUAAAAAUGUCACUUCAUGGAGUUCCCGUCAUGGCGCAGUGGUUAACAAAUCCGACUAGGAACCAUGAGGUUGCGGGUUUGGUCCCUGCCCUUGCUCAGUGGGUUAACGAUCCGGCGUUGCUGUGAGCUGCGGUGUAGGUUGCAGACGCGGCUCGGAU
rnacentral:lncRNA from 1 species